UUUUAUUCUGCCUAGUAAGAAGUAACAAAUAUACCACAAGCAACGGGCCAAAAAUACACUCAAAACUCACUUCUUUAGAACCAAAAAAAUAACUGAAGAUACAAAGAGAAAGAAACACGAAAUGACCAAAGCUGAUGUUACCAAAAUGAAGAAAAAAGAUACGAAAACAUUUACUGGUUUUAUGCAAAAAAAGAAAACAUUUACUGGUGUAUAUAACACAAAGCCCAAGGCAAUUAGGAAAAUGCAAUCAAAUAUUACAUCGUAACUCAUUGAUUUAUUAUUCCAUCUCGGGAAUUUUAUUACAAAAACAAAAGAAA
rnacentral:lncRNA from 1 species